rnacentral:rRNA from 1 species
AUUGAACGCUGGCGGCAGGCCUAACACAUGCAAGUCGAACGAGUGGCGGACGGGUGAGUAAUGUCUGGGAAACUGCCUGAUGGAGGGGGAUAACUACUGGAAACGGUCUCUAAUACCGCAUACCAUCGGAUGUGCCCAGAUGGGAUUAGCUAGUAGGUGGGGUAAAGGCUCACCUAGGCGACGAUCCCUAGCUGGUCUGAGAGGAUGACCAGUAACACGGGAACUGAGACACGGUCCAGACGGCUACGGGAGGAAGCAGUGGGGAAGAUGGCACAAUGGGCGCAAGCCGGAUGGAGCGAUGCCGCGUGGAUGAAGAAGGCCGUCGGGUUGUAAAGUACUUUCAGGGGGGAGGCGUUACCCGCAGAAGAAGCACCGGCUAACUCCGUGCUAGCAGCCGCGGUAAUUC